rnacentral:rRNA from 1 species
CAAGUCGAACGAAUCCCGGGGGCAACUCCGGGGGAAGUGGCGAAAGGGGCAGUAAGGCGUGGCUAACCCACCCCGGGGACGGGGAUAGCCUCCCUAACGGGAGGGUAAUACCCGGCGAGGUGGUCUGGAGGCAUCUUCGGGCCAUGAAACGAGUUUCGCCUCGGGAGGGGGUCACGUGCUAUUACCUAGUUGGCGGGGUAACGGCCCACCAAGGGGAAGAUGGCUAGCGGGUGUGAGAGCACGACCCGCGCCACUGGCACUGAGACACUGGCCAGACUCCUACGGGAGGCUGCAGUCGAGGAUCUUCGGCAAUGGGCGCAAGCCUGACCGAGCGACGCCGCGUGUGCGAUGAAGGCCUUCGGGUUGUAAAGCACUGUCGAGGGGGAGGAAAGCCCGCAAGGGCCUGACCUAUCCCUGGAGGAAGCACGGGCUAAGUUCGUGCCAGCAGCCGCGGUAAGACGAACCGUGCGAACGUUGUUCGGAUUCACUGGGCUUAAAGGGCGCGUAGGCGGCUGGUCUAGUCAGGGGUGAAAUCUUUCGGCUCAACCGGAAAACGGCCCCUGAUACUGGCCGGCUGGAGGGAGGUAGGGGCAGAUGGAACUUCCGGUGGAGCGGUGAAAUGCGUAGAUAUCGGAAGGAACGCCGGUGGCGAAAGCGAUCUGCUGGACCUCUUCUGACGCUGAGGCGCGAAAGCCAGGGGAGCAAACGGGAUUAGAUACCCCGGUAGUCCUGGCCCUAAACGAUGGGGACUAGGUAGUGGACUUGACAUGGGUUCACUGCCGAAGCGAAAGUGUUAG